ACGGUGAACACGGAGCUUGCUCUGUGGGAUCAGUGGCGAACGGGUGAGUAACACGUGAGCAACCUGCCCCUGACUCUGGGAUAAGCGCUGGAAACGGCGUCUAAUACUGGAUACGAACCACGAAGGCAUCUUCAGUGGUUGGAAAGAUUUAUUGGUUGGGGAUGGGCUCGCGGCCUAUCAGCUUGUUGGUGAGGUAAUGGCUCACCAAGGCGUCGACGGGUAGCCGGCCUGAGAGGGUGACCGGCCACACUGGGACUGAGACACGGCCCAGACUCCUACGGGAGGCAGCAGUGGGGAAUAUUGCACAAUGGGCGCAAGCCUGAUGCAGCAACGCCGCGUGAGGGAUGACGGCCUUCGGGUUGUAAACCUCUUUUAGCAGGGAAGAAGCGAAAGUGACGGUACCUGCAGAAAAAGCGCCGGCUAACUACGUGCCAGCAGCCGCGGUAAUACGUAGGGCGCAAGCGUUAUCCGGAAUUAUUGGGCGUAAAGAGCUCGUAGGCGGUUUGUCGCGUCUGCUGUGAAAUCCGGAGGCUCAACCUCCGGCCUGCAGUGGGUACGGGCAGACUAGAGUGCGGUAGGGGAGAUUGGAAUUCCUGGUGUAGCGGUGGAAUGCGCAGAUAUCAGGAGGAACACCGAUGGCGAAGGCAGAUCUCUGGGCCGUAACUGACGCUGAGGAGCGAAAGGGUGGGGAGCAAACAGGCUUAGAUACCCUGGUAGUCCACCCCGUAAACGUUGGGAACUAGUUGUGGGGUCCAUUCCACGGAUUCCGUGACGCAGCUAACGCAUUAAGUUCCCCGCCUGGGGAGUACGGCCGCAAGGCUAAAACUCAAAGGAAUUGACGGGGACCCGCACAAGCGGC
rnacentral:rRNA from 1 species